CCUGGUUGAUCCUGCCAGUAGCAUAUGCUUGUCUCAAAGAUUAAGCCAUGCAUGUCUAAGUACGAGCCGCUUGUCGGCGAAACCGCGAAUGGCUCAAUAAAUCAGUUAUGGUUCCUUAGAUCUUUACAUCCUACUUGGAUAACUGUGGUAAUUCUAGAGCUAAUACAUGCACUUACGGCCCCGACUCCGGCAACGGUUGGAGGGGUGCUUUUAUUAGAUCAAAACCAAUCGGGGAGGGCCUUUCCGGUCCCCUCCGUCCUCACUGGUGACUCUGAAUAACUUUCGCCGAUCGCACGGCCCUCGCGCCGGCGACGCAUCUUUCAAAUGUCUGCCUUAUCAACUUUCGAUGGUAGGUUAUGCGCCUACCAUGGUUGCAACGGGUAACGGGGAAUCGGGGUUCGAUUCCGGAGAGGGAGCCUGAGAAACGGCUACCACAUCCAAGGAAGGCAGCAGGCGCGCAAAUUACCCACUCCCGGCACGGGGAGGUAGUGACGAAAAAUAACGAUACGGGACUCUUCCGAGGCCCCGUGAUUGGAAUGAGUACACUUUAAAUCCUUUAACGAGGACCUAUUGGAGGGCAAGUCUGGUGCCAGCAGCCGCGGUAACUCCAGCUCCAAUAGCGUAUAUUAAAGUUGUUGCGGUUAAAAAGCUCGUAGUUGGAUUCCUGUCUUCGGCCGGGCGGUGCCGGUGAUUUUCACAUCGCCGCGCGCUGCCUUGGGACGGGGGUGUCAAAGCCCCCGUCUUUUAACGGUCGGACAAUACCACCGGAGGUCGCGGAGCUUACGGGUCGGUCUUCGGGCCGGGCCGGAAUGCCGCGACCAAAUUUUUUCGUUCGCGGUGCCCUUAACAAGGUGUCGCGAGCGGCCGGUAACGUUUACUUUGAACAAAUUAGAGUGCUCAAAGCAGGUGCACACCUUCGCCUGAAUAUCACAGCAUGGAAUGAUGGAAUAGGACCUCGGUCUUAUUUUGUUGGUUUUCUCUAGACCCGAGGUAAUGGUUAAUAGAGACGGACGGGGGCAUUCGUACUGCGACGCUAGAGGUGAAAUUCUUGGACCGUCGCAAGACGAACGACUGCGAAAGCAUUUGCCAAGAAUGUUUUCAUUAAUCAAGAACGAAAGUUAGAGGUUCGAAGGCGAUCAGAUACCGCCCUAGUUCUAACCAUAAACGAUGCCAGCCAGCGAUCCGCCGAAGUUACUCCCAUGACUCGGCGGGCAGCUUCCGGGAAACCAAAGCUUUUGGGUUCCGGGGGAAGUAUGGUUGCAAAGCUGAAACUUAAAGGAAUUGACGGAAGGGCACCACCAGGAGUGGAGCCUGCGGCUUAAUUUGACCCAACACGGGAAACCUCACCAGGCCCGGACACUGGAAGGAUUGACAGAUUGAGAGCUCUUUCUUGAUUCGGUGGGUGGUGGUGCAUGGCCGUUCUUAGUUGGUGGAGCGAUUUGUCUGGUUAAUUCCGAUAACGAACGAGACUCUAGCCUGCUAAAUAGGUGGCGGGUUUUUUU
rnacentral:rRNA from 1 species